rnacentral:ncRNA from 1 species
CCAAAGGCCCUUUUCAGGGCCACCCACCUCAUUGAAAGAGCAACCU